AAUACUUCUACUACUACUAUCACUACUUUACUUACCCAAUUUUGUCAACAACUAUAUCCCAGUAUGGGAUUUCAUCCAUUCAUGUUUCGUGCUACUAGUAAGUGUUCGUUACGCAAUCAAAAAUGGGAUACUUGUUGGGAACAGGAAUGUAUUGAUGU
rnacentral:ribozyme from 1 species